CGGUCCUGCGGCAGCGCCUUUCCCCGGCAGGGGGGGCGGUGUUCUCCUGCACCGGCUGCCGGCCCUCAACAUCCCUCCUGUAACGAGCAUCGUUGGCUUAACUUGGUAACGCUGUGGCUUCAGCCUUCACAGCACAAAGUAAAUGUACGCUUUCACCUCAGUAUCAAUGAGUUCGCCUCUUAGCUCCCUUUUCUAAAUUUAUUUGCCGCUUUAGCCUGUCAACCGUAGCCAAGCUGCAUAAAUUUGACUGCCAAAAAAAGGUAAAAUGAGGAAGUGUUACCACAAACACUCUUUUCAACAUCAAACCACUGGGUGUCACUAUCGAUCUUACGUGGAUGUUAACCGUAAUUCCAUUUUCAUAGUAAACCAGCAAUUUUUAACGAUUCAUACAAUAUUGGGAGCUAGGCAUAUUCUUCCUCAGGCAUGUAUUCCAAAAUAAAUAUUUUGCUUCCACUGGCCGUUUCAGGAGAUUUUCAACUCGGUGAUUUCAGCGUUGUUCCUCCUCGUUGUGUGCCUGUUUGCAGUAAUAAUCAAGACCAACAAUGGGACACUGGCUGGAGGAGUGCUUGGUCUUGUAUUGCUUAUUCUCUGCGUUGUGGACGCUGUUCUUCUCUCCCAGAAGAUUAGCCUUGAUAGACCAAGAAGAAGGACUACUCCUGCAAAA